ACCUCUGUAGCUCAGUUGGUUAGAGUGCUGCGCUGGAAUCGCAGGAACGCAGGUUUGAUUCCUGCCAGGGACA